rnacentral:misc_RNA from 1 species
UGAAAGCUUCUUCAAAUCAUAAUAAUCGAAAUUCAAAGGAACACAUAAAUUUUCAAGUCUACCCAAACAAAUUGAUAAGAUCAUUCUUCUGAGCAUUUGCAUCCCUCUUUCUGUGUGAAGGAAGAGGCAAAGAAUGGCAGCAUACAGGUGGAAGAGUUUCAACGAUGAUGGCGAUCGUCCUGAGAAACCUCGUCGCUAUGGCGUUACAGAAAUGAAGGGUCCCAACUAUUCCCUUUUCUCGAGAGGCCUUCUUGAGGAUGUUUUAGAGUCUAUGGGUCAUUUUGUUGAUGGGCUAAAACUAUGUGAUGGAUCCCAUACUGUGAUGCCAAAGAAUUACAUCAAAGAAGUGACUGAUAUGGCACAUAAACACAAUGUUUAUGUUAGCUCUGGUGAUUCGGCAGAUCAAAUGCUUUUCCGAGGUCCUUCUUCUCUUAAAGAAUAUAUUGAGGAAUGUAAGCAAUUGGGGUUUGAUUCAAUUGAGCUUGAUGUUGCAUCACUUGGUUUACCUGAGGAGACCCUCUUGAGAUAUGUGAGGCUGAUUAAGAGCAGUGGGCUCAGGGCUAAGCCUCAGUUCUCUGUUAAGUUUAAUAAGUCUGAUAUAGCCUUCGCCGGUGACAGAGCUUUUGGGGCUUACGUGAUUCCAGCACCUCAAACCUCUGAGAUGGUUGAAGAUGUGGAUCUUUUGGUCAGAAGGGCAGAGAGAUGCUUAGAAGCUGGGGCAGACAUGAUAAUGAUCAAUGCUGAUGAUUUAUGUAGGCAGGCUGGUUUACUAAGAUCAGAUAUUGUUGCGAAGAUUGUGGGUCGUCUUGGACUUGAGAAAACUAUGUUUGAGGCAUCAAAUCCUAAAAUCUCUGAGUGGUUUGUCAAACGUUAUGGUCCAAAGGUUAAUCUUAUCGUGGACCACUCACAAGUAAUGGAUCUGGAAUGCCUCAGAGGACGUAACCUGGGUCAGAAUCACUCAUCUGUACUUGGCAGGUCAUAUUUUUUGCUCUGAUCUUGUGAUGUCCAUAGAGAAAACUGUGCUCAUUGUAGCGAACAACGUGUGUCUGUAAAAUGCUUUGCUGGUCAUGUUCAGAUCAUGUUUGAACUUUUAAAUGAAAAAAAAGGAGAGUACACUUCAGAUAUGUACUCAUGUACUGUAAUGAUUGCAGUCUUUUCAGGGA